AUGGUCGGUCUCUGUUUCCGCUGCUUCGAGGAGGGACACCUCAGGAAGGACUGCACCAACGACAUCGUGUGCUUCCGCUGCAGUCUUCCUGGCCAUGUCUCCAAGGACUGCAAGCGACCCCGGAGCCCGUCCCCAGAAGAGGAGCUUAGGCGCCUCACCGCGUCCAAGGUGGCUCGCCGUGAGCCGGGCGGAACCGCUGGCCCGCGCGGUCGCGUCAACGGCCCUCCCCUGCUCCCGACGCCGCACGCUUGGGACAGAGAAGUGGUGGAAGACCUUCUUGGUUCUUCUUGCAUGGUGGACAUGGUGGCGCCGGAGUCCAGCUCGCGUCGUGACCUCUCCGCGUUCAGGCUCACGGCGUGGACGGCAGACCCGGAGGCCAUUCCGACGCUGCGGUGGCUGGCCAUCCCUGAACCUGGCCUGUUCGUUCCGAUGGUGGAGCCGGCGCUGCUGCAAUACAAGAUUCUCAUCCACCUGGAGUCUGUGACCGACUAUGGCGAGAGGGAGGAGCCGUGGUUCUUGACGGGGGCGGCGUCUUCCGAUAGUGAGCAGAGUGGAAUUCUGGACUCGGGCAGCGGCUUCAGCGCCGGGAACGGCGCCGACAUUGCGCCUCAGCAACGUUCUUGGCAGUUCGGGGUGCGUGACUCUCGCGCAAGCAGCUCUGGCCGCGCUCAUGGCGGAGCAUCUGCCUCGCCGCCGGCGACCACGGCGAUGGGUGAUUGGCGUCUGCCUCCGAUGGCGCCAAAGGAGAUGAUCUCAGCGGCUGGACCCUCACUGGUGGUGCAGGACAGGUUGUCGGUCAGGAUUUCAGCUUUUGACCGCUUAUCCGAUAAGGUGGGGACCGUCGUGCCCUCCAGAGUUCAAAAUCCGGUCGUUUCGAGGGAGAGAGAUGCAGUCCAAGGCGACGUGGCAGUUCACGAGGGGGCGACAGGCGAUGUGAGCGGUUCUCCUUCUGUGGAGCCCGCGGUGCAGCCAAUUACAGCGUUGGAGUUGGUGAUUGCAGCCCCAACGGCUCCUGUGGAUGCAUUCAUGGCCUCGUUCAGCGAGCCGCAUGCGGCCAAGGUUACUGCGCCGAGCCAACUGGCUGCGGAUAAGGACAGAAGGAAUCCCGAGGGUGAUAUGGGCAUGCAACUGAUGGCGGUUGAGGGCAGGAGGGAUCCCGAGGGAGACAUGGACAAGACUAGCCAGCCAGGCUCCAAUGCUAUGAUCCCUGAGGGCCCGGUGGGGUCAGGUGCUGUUUCGUCUGGAUCCGCGCCUGUUCCCGCGGCGAUGGUAGUGGUGGGAGCCACUGAAGGCAUCCCGAGGUAUGCUGAUUUGGUCGAGGAAGUGGACGAGCGGGAGGCGCCGGGCCCUCCACUAACCCUGGUGGUGGGACCCGUUGAUGGGACCGGUGAUGGGAAUCAUGCCCAUGCACGUACACUGGCUGUUAUCCCUAGCCAUGCACGUACGAGCUCCAUUCUUGACCCUGACCCCUCCAACCUUGCUGCUUUGGACGACUUGGACAUGCAGCGGCCUGAUUCUGGAGAAGAGCAAACAACUCUGGCAACGCUAACAGAGGGGAUGACAUCGCAAGAAGCCUUGGCUUUAGCUCGGCUCAAAAGCUUCUGCUCCAACAUCGUGAAGANNNNNNNNNNNNNNNNNNNNNNNNNNNNNNNNNNNNNNNNNNNNNNNCAACGCUGCGGCCACGAUCGGAGCCUUUCACGCCUAGGCGCACCACGCGCGUGA
rnacentral:rRNA from 1 species